UGACAUCCCAGUUUCCUCCCAUGGCCCGGCUGGACUAAAACGCAAACGGUCGGAGGAGGAGAAGGGAAAAGCGGGGGAAUCGCCCUGCAAGAAAAGAGUUAAAGGUGGGCGCAGGGUCUCUGUGAGGCCCAUUGAUUGGAAAAACACCUUCCCCCCAACGCGGAGACAGAAACGAAAAGCAGCAGAAAUUCAUCCAUCUGCUGCUGAGGACGCGGAUGAGCCCCCAGCUAAAAAACUACCAAUGGAGACUCUUGCUUCAGUCCCGCCCGAAUACACCGUGCUCAGCACCGAAGUCAUAAAGCUUCCAAGCAGGUGAUGACCACAACUUGUUCUUCCUUAAUGCCCUUUUCCCAUCAGACAGAAGUUCUUUCACACUGGGGGAAAAUGGGGUGUUUGAGAUGUGUCAUGGCAUAAUGCAACAAAGGAAGAGGUCAUCUGAGAUCAUUGAAACUGC